GUGGGGAAUAUUGGACAAUGGGGGCAACCCUGAUCCAGCCAUGCCGCGUGAAUGAUGAAGGCCUUCGGGUUGUAAAGUUCUUUUGGAGGGGACGAUGAUGACGGUACCCUCAGAAUAAGCUCCGGCUAACUUCGUGCCAGCAGCCGCGGUAAUACGAAGGGAGCUAGCGUUGUUCGGAAUUACUGGGCGUAAAGGGCGCGUAGGCGGUUUGGUUAGUCAGAUGUGAAAGCCCAGGGCUUAACCCUGGAACUGCGUUUGAUACUGCCAAGCUUGAAUUCGGGAGAGGGGAGUGGAAUUCCCAGUGUAGAGGUGAAAUUCGUAGAUAUUGGGAAGAACACCGGUGGCGAAGGCGGCUCACUGGACCGACAUUGACGCUGAGGCGCGAAAGCGUGGGGAGCAAACAGGAUUAGAUACCCGGGUAGUCC
rnacentral:rRNA from 1 species